ensembl:lncRNA
CACUAGUGAGCCGCAUUUUCAAAACAGAAUUUUAUGAUGAACACUAAUAACACAGAUUAUUCCCCUAAACUUUAUGGUAAAAAAUUAAUCUGUGGUUUCAAUGUGAAGCUGCAGCUUCCUCAACAUUUAAGCAUAUGCUUGAUUUAGGCGCUCGUGUGAGCCCAGAGUUUCCAUGGGAACCACUCAGGCAUGUUCAGGUGAGGCCAAAGGCACAGGGCUGCUGCCUUGGGAGCAGGCUGCAGGCCCGUGAGGCAAAGUUUGUCUGAGAGGGGCUGAGCCUGGCCGUUAGGUGGUAGGAGGCUGCUGCCUUUCAGCUGUGCCCAGGGCAGCAAUCGGGCAGACCUAGGAUAGGAGGCAGGUGGGACCUCCCAGAGUCCAGCUGAGGGAGAAAUGGCCAACAGGCCAGCUGUGGAGGAGACAGGUCUGGGCUCCCCUCCCACACCAAAAGAAAAGAAAUGACUUUAUUUCCCGUUAAGGGAGUAGCUGGAGCAGAAAUAUGGCCCUGGCUUUUUGCUUUCCUGAGGGAAGUGAGCCCUAAUAGUGGCACAGAGAAGCUGUGGGGAAUGAAGGUAACUGGUGUCCAGCUGCAGGCCCUGAGGGAGCCCUGGGGCUGGCUAAAGCCAACGCUGGAGGCCCUGUGAGACUUUCCAGAACAUUGUCAUGUGUGGAUACGUGCAACGUAUUAGGUUGUAAUGACCCUAUGAGAGCAAGCAGGAGGUGACAAGAGCUGGUUACAGGUCAGGGGCAUGAGAGAAGCUGAAGGGUGAGCUGCAGUCCCUCCCAACAGCAGGGAGGGGUAGGAGCAGCCCCGAGGGCUCAGUCCCAUCCCCAGGAGAUGGAGUGUGACCCUUAUCUGAGGGGAAGGAGAGCAGAAGCCACAUGUGGUUCACACUUCUCUCCUUCUUUCCUCCCAGCUCCAUUUAUGUGCUGCCCAGUGCAGCCCUACCAAAGAGCGUUGCUGACAGAGCCUGCUGCAGAUGAAGCUUGAACAAAGACAUGGGUGUAACUCUCCUCUGCUGGGAAAGAGAAACUUGGAUAACUGAAGGUAUCAGGCCUGUCUGCUUCUCUUCAGUCAGUUGUAAGGCAUUCGUAAGGGUGAAGAUGGUAGUCUUCAGUUUCAUCCCAGACAUGUCUCCAUAUUACUGCAGUGCCCAAAUGGAUCCAAGGCUGCGUGUGAGUUGUUCGAGAAAACAAAAAUUUUCUGCUGACUAAUGAGUCUCUGACUUCCUCCAGUCUACCAAAUGUUCUAGUGCUGCAGCAGACAGCAUGGCUGCCUUUUGUUAGCUUCUCUGUGCACUAAUAUCACCGACACUACUGUGGACACCUCCAGCAGGCUCCCUUUCUACGUCUUAGAACAAAAGGUUGUUUCUUGAAUAGCAACUCUUAAUUCUUAGGUGCUUAUAAACAACUUUUUUUUUCAUCUGUUUUCCAAGUAACAAAAUGUUUUUACCUUGAUAUGAGGAAAACUUUUUUAGGAUGUGGGCAAAAAACGUAUAUUCCUUGCAGUAUGUGGGCAAAAAAUGUAUAUUGCUUGCAUGCUCCAAGUAAUAAAUAAAAUCAUGGGGAAUUUGUUCA